GCGUCAGUGGUGCAACGGUUCAGCACACGCUCCUGAGAAAGAGUGAGGUCUGGGUUCGAAUCCCGACUGACACA